ensembl:lncRNA
CAGAGGCUACCGCCUCACUAAACUUUAUCUGGGUGAGUUCAACUGUGAGCCCUUUAAGAGGCGUCUCCCAGGUUAGUGUAGCCUGUGGUCUAUGGACACAAGCCCUGCUGGUUUUCAAAACUAGAUGUUUUGAGGAACCGACUCUCAGCUGGGCGUGGAGAAGGAGCAGCUUGGAAUGGCAGCGGACAGCCAGAACAGAUGGACAGCAGCUGAAUCAAUCAAGAAGCGAUUGCAAUCUAUGGUCCUGGAGGCAAUUACCACUCCCUCACUGAGAAGUCAAUGAAAAGGAUACAUCAAAGAGUUAUUAACACACUCAUAAAUUUGUAAAGCAUCUCCUAACGACACCACUAUAACUAUCCCCAUGUAUAAUGGCUUCAUAAUUUUAUUUGUUGAAGUAUAAUGUACACAAGUGAAAUGUUUAUAUCUUAGGUGUGCUGUCCAAUCAGUUUUGAUAAAUGCAUAUACUUUUGCAGACUAUGCCCCUAUCAAGACACAGAGCAUUUCCUUCAAACCCAGAAAGUUACUUGUGUCCCUACCCAGGCAAUGCCCCUCUCAGAAACAACAACUAAUCCUGUUAUUUGUCACUAUAUUCCAAAGUUUCAUAUAAAUUGAAUCCUGUAGUUUGUCAUCUUUUGCAUCUUGCUUUUUUAUUUAGCAUAAUAUUUUCUGAGAAUGACUCAUAUUAUUUCAAGUACCAGUAUCUGAUCCCUUUUUAUUGCAAAGUAAGAUUCCAUUAUAAGAAAAUACACAGUUUAAUAAUCCAUUCUUCUAUUGAUGGACAUCUGGGAUGCUUACAGGUUGGAAUUGUUAUGAAAAGAAGAUUCUAUGAACAAUUUUAUUUUCCUUUUUGGUGUAACUAUGUUUUUGUUUCUCUUGAAUAAAUAUCUUGGAGUAGAAUUGCCAGCUCAUAGAGUAUAUGUGCAUUCAACUUUUGGAGAACUAAGUUUUCUGAAAUGUUUGUUCUGUUUUACACUCCCACUAGUAAUAUAUGAGAAUUUGAGUUACUCCAGUAUUUGAUGUUGUCAGUAUUUUAUUUUAGCCAUUCUAGUAGGUGUGUAAUGAUAUUUCAUUAUGGUUUGAAUUUGCUUUUCCUGGAUGAAUGAUAUGAAAACUUUUUCAUAUGCCUAUUGGCCAUUUUGGAUAUCUCCUUUGGGCAAAAGUGUGGAAAAUGUGAAUUGUCUCUUUGAAUCUUUUGUCCAUUUUUAAAUCAUCUUGUUUGUCCUACUAUUAGGUUGUGAAAGUUCUUCAUGUAUUCUAGAUUGAAGACCUUUGCCAGAUAUGCUUAUUAUGAAUAUUUUCUUCUAGUAUAUGAUUUCCCUAUUUAUUUUCUCAAAAAGUGCUUGGGGAGCACAAAUAUCUUAACUUUAUUUUUAAUUAACCAAAGUACACAGUUUACAUUAGCGUUCAUUCUUUGUCUUAUAUGUGCAAGGAGUUGUGAUAAAUGUUUAAUAGCAUAUAUCCAUUAUUAUAGUGUUAUACAGAAUAGUUUCACUCCUCCAAAAAUUCCCUAUGUUUCACCUGUUCUUUCCUUUCUCCUCCCAAAACUACGAUAACCACUAAUCUUUUACUAUCUCCUUAUUUUUGCCUUUUCCAGAGUAUCAUAU